GACGAACGCUGGCGGCGUGCUUAACACAUGCAAGUCGAACGGAAAGGCCCUGCUUUUGUGGGGUGCUCGAGUGGCGAACGGGUGAGUAACACGUGAGUAACCUGCCCUUGACUUUGGGAUAACUUCAGGAAACUGGGGCUAAUACCGGAUAGGAGCUCCUGCUGCAUGGUGGGGUUUGGAAAGUUUCGGCGGUUGGGGAUGGACUCGCGGCUUAUCAGCUUGUUGGUGGGGUAGUGGCUUACCAAGGCUUUGACGGGUAGCCGGCCUGAGAGGGUGACCGGCCACAUUGGGACUGAGAUACGGCCCAGACUCCUACGGGAGGCAGCAGUGGGGAAUAUUGCACAAUGGGCGGAAGCCUGAUGCAGCAACGCCGCGUGCGGGAUGACGGCCUUCGGGUUGUAAACCGCUUUCGCCUGUGACGAAGCGUGAGUGACGGUAAUGGGUAAAGAAGCACCGGCCAACUACGUG
rnacentral:rRNA from 1 species